rnacentral:snoRNA from 1 species
AUGAGGGUACUGUUACAAAACAACUGAAGUGUUGUGUUGUCGUUUCCCCUUCUUGGAGCAAUGGAUGCAUAACUGUCUGGCAUAAUUUCAUAGUAAGACGCUUAGUCUCAAACAU